rnacentral:rRNA from 1 species
AUGGUGCCGCCGCCGCCGCCGCCGCCGUCUGAUCAAAGUAGGCUCAUCGUCGUCCGCUUGGUCGUCGGCUUCGCGGCCUUUCUGUUCGCAGUGUUCCUCUGCGGCUGCUGCAAGGGAUAUCGAAACAGUCAGGCUCGGGCCGUGGCCGCUCAACAGAGCCCGCAGCCACGGCUGCUCCGAGAUCUACAGCUUCGAGGGGCCUGCGCCACCAAACGGACGGCCCGUCUCCCGGCGUUCACGUACAGCGGGCCGGUGAAGCACAACGUGACGGGCGGAGGGGAGGAGGCGGCGACGUGCUCGGUGUGCCUCGGCGCGUUCCAGCUCGGGGAGACGGUGCGGCUGCUGCCGGCGUGCCUGCACCUGUAUCACGUGGAGUGCAUCGACCCGUGGCUGGACGCGCACUCGACGUGCCCGCUCUGCCGCUCGGACGCCGACCCGACAGCGGGCGGCCGGCUACUGCCUGUCUAG